UGUAGUCUAUGAGUGUCAACUCUUCCCUUCAAGAACAGAUUGUUGACCAUUUUUUUGAGUUUACUGUUGGUGAAGAAGCCAUUUAAAAUAAUUUUAGUAGGGUUGGCUAAAGUCCAUACCAGCUUUUGAAGAAUUGCCUUUAUGGAAUGUUCCCACAGUCCUGACAAAGAGAAGUAAAAAGCAGAAGAUAUUGAGGAAAUACUGGAAUUUUGCCAGGGGCUCCAAGCAUUAUAACAUUUUCUGGGAGUCUAAAAUUCUCCUGUAAAUGAGAAGAUUAAAAAUCUUGAGGGAAGUAAUAUCUUAGAGGAUGAUACCAAAAAGUGUCUGUACCCUUUUCUCCCUUCACUACUUUGGAGAAAGUAAAGGGGUGAGGCAGAGGUGUUUACAACAA